rnacentral:piRNA from 1 species
UGAAUUGAUGAUCCUUUGUGUUGGC